AGGUAAAUCCGCAGAAGAUGUCGAACCUGAUAGUACCGUGAGGCUUCGGCCAGGCGGAUAAUUGCCCUAAACAGACUUCCAGGAAAAACCUCUAAGCAUCAGGUUAUUGGCGCCCGUACCGGAAACCGACACAGGUGGUCGAGGAGAGUAUCCAAAGGUGCUCGAGUGAAUCAUAGUUAAGGAACUAGGCAAAUUAGUCCUGUAACUUCGGGAGAAAGGACGCCUUGAGUAAUCAAGGCCGCAGAGAAAUGGCCCAGGCGACUGUUUAUCAAAAACACAUGGCUUUGCUAAAUCGCAAGAUGACGUAUAAGGCCUGACACCUGCCCGGUGCUGGAAGGUUAAGAGGAGAUGUCAUUCGCAAGGAGAAGCAUUGAAUUGAAGCCCCAGUAAACGGCGGCCGUAACUAUAACGGUCCUAAGGUAGCGAAAUUCCUUGUCGGGUAAGUUCCGACCUGCACGAACGGUGUAACGAUCUGGGCACUGUCUCAACUAUGAGCUCGGUGAAAUUGUAGUUCCGGUGAAGAUGCCGGAUACCCGCAACGGGACGGAAAGACCCCGUGCACCUUCACUAUAGCUUAACAUUGACAUUGAAUAAACGAUGUGUAGGAUAGGUGGGAGAUUGUGAAGCGGCUUCGCCAGGAGUCGUGGAAUCAUCCUUGAAAUACCACCCUUUGUUUAUUCGGUGCCUAACCCCGCGUAUGCGGGGGACAUUGUUUGGUGGGUAGUUUGACUGGGGUGGUCGCCUCCAAAAGAGUAACGGAGGCUUUCAAAGGUACCCUCAGCACGCUUGGUAACCGUGCGUAGAGUGCAAUGGCAUAAGGGUGCUUGACUGUGAGACCAACAAGUCGAUCAGGUACGAAAGUAGGACAUAGUGACCCGGUGGUUCCGCAUGGAAGGGCCAUCGCUCAAAGGAUAAAAGGUACGCCGGGAUAACAGGCUGAUCACUCCCAAGAGCUCACAUCGACGGAGUGGUUUGGCACCUCGAUGUCGGCUCGUCACAUCCUGGGGCUGGAGAAGGUCCCAAGGGUUCGGCUGUUCGCCGAUUAAAGUGGCACGUGAGCUGGGUUCAGAACGUCGCGAGACAGUUCGGUCCCUAUCUGUUGUGGGCGUUAGAAGUUUGAGAGCACCUGACUCUAGUACGAGAGGACCGAGUCGGACAUACCUCUAGUGGACCUGUUGUUGCGCCAGCUGCAUCGCAGGGUAGCCACGUAUGGAUGAGAUAAGCGCUGAAAGCAUCUAAGUGCGAAACUCAGCUCAAGAUGAGACUUCUUUUAAGGGUCGUAGUAGACUACUACGUUGAUAGGUCACAGGUGUAAAGACAGUAAUGUCAAAGCCGAGUGAUACUAAUUACCC
rnacentral:rRNA from 1 species